rnacentral:rRNA from 1 species
GACCGAGGGUGCAAACGUUGUUCGGAAUCACUGGGCGUAAAGCGUGUGUAGGCGGUCCAAUAAGUCGGAUGUGAAAGCCCCGGGCUCAACCCGGGAAGUGCACCCGAUACUGAUGGACUUGAGUACUGGAGAGGUUGGUGGAAUUCUCGGUGUAGAGGUGAAAUUCGUAGAUAUCGAGAGGAACACCGGUGGCGAAGGCGGCCAACUGGACAGAUACUGACGCUGAGACACGAAAGCGUGGGGAGCAAACAGG